CACCUCUCCGUAAUAUAAAUCUCCCUUAAACAAAUCUAAUAACCAGUCAUCAAAUUAAACGCAAAUUCAACCCUGCUUUCACUUCCCCGCGAUCUAACCUGGUAUUCAAUUCCGCUUCUUCCCCUUUUCCAUUUUUGUUUUCUUCUCCUUUCUUCCAUUUUUAUCAGAAUUCGAAUCUUUACUUUCAUUCUAUUUUAUUCACUUUCCUAUACUAACAUGUUAACCACAGAUUUAGAACUUGUAUUAUACGUUUAGAGAGUUUCAGAGUAGUUGGUUACGCUUAUAGGCAUGGCUGGUCAAACUGAAACCCUAGAUAAUUCUAUAGAUGGUGUUUUGGGGGCAAGUGGUGCUGAGUUGAAUCAUGAUUUAGGUUUUCAUGGAUCAAUUGGGGAGGGUAAAGAUGUGAAUCCUGUUAUUGAAGGAGUUUUAGGGUUUGAGAGUGAGAAGAUUGAGUUGGGUGGUGAUGAAGCAGCUUUGAAAACAUUGGAUGAGAACAAGGAGGUGGUUAGUGAAAUACUGGAGAAGGAAGUGGUGAUGAGUGAUGUUGCUGAGGUUGAGUUAGAAGAAGGGAAGGUUGGCGUUUCUGAGAAGAUUGAUGAUUUGCAUAUAGAUGGUGUUUUGGAGGCAAGUGAUGCUGAUUUGAAUGAGGAUUUGGGUUUUGAUGGAUCGAUUGAGAAAGGUAAAGAUGUGAAUCCUAUUGUUGAAGGAGUUUCUGGGGUUGAGGGUUUUGUGAGGUCCUUAGAAGGUAACAUUGAGAGUGAGAUGAUUGAGUUGGGGGGAAAUGAGGCAGCUUUGAAAACAUUGGAUGAGAAGAAGGUGGUGGUUAGUGAAAUAUUGGAGAAAGAAGUGGUGAUGAGUGAUGUUGUUGAGGUUGAGUUAGAUGAAGGGAAAGUUGGCAUUUCUGAGAAGAUUGAUGAUUCACAUGAAGAGCUAGAAUUUAGUGAUGCGGAAGAGGUAAAAGUAAAAGCAAAGGGUGGAAAAGUUGUAAAGUAUGUCUCCAUGAAGAGUUCGGGAAAAAGUUAUCAGGCGAGGUAUCAGCUGCCGGUAGAAAAAGAAGGGAAGUUUUCUAUGAAUGAUUUGGUUUGGGGAAAGGUGAGAAGUCACCCGUGGUGGCCGGGGCAAAUAUUUGAUCCUUUGGAUUCAUCUGCAAAGGCGAUGAAGCAUUUUAAGAAGAACCGCUAUUUGGUAGCGUAUUAUGGGGAUGGAACGUAUGCAUGGAAUGAAGGGUCUAAGUUGAAGUCCUUUAGGUCUCAUUUCUCUUAUAUUGAAAAGAAUAAAAAAUCGGAAGCGUUCCAGAGUGCUGUAGAUUCGGCUUUGGAUGAAGUCAAAAGACGAGUAGAAUUUGGGCUAGCAUGUUCCUGCAUACCGAAAGAUACCUAUGACAAGAUUAAACACCAGACUAUUGAAAACUGUGGAAUUCAACAAGAGCCGAGUUUCGUAAACAGAGUUGAUGACUCUUUAAGUGUUAGCUCCUUUUUACCUGAGAAGCUUAUCGAAUACUUGAAAGAUUUAUCUAAGUUUCCAACCGAAGGCUUUGAUCGAUUGGAGCUUUUAAUAGCUAAGACUCAGUUACUUGCAUUUUAUCGUUUAAAGGGUUACUCUUGCUUGCCUGAAUUUCAAUAUUUCAGAGGUUUGGACGAUGACAUCAACCCUUCAAUUAACGAUACUGAUAAAAGAUUGAGUGAAGUUAAUGAGCACACAAUUCAUGUGGGUGAAAUUGGCGAUCAAACUGGUACCGGAGAUUCAAAAGCCAUAAACAAAUCCCGUCGCAAGCGUAAACAUCAUCUAAAGGAUGAUGUCUAUCCAGCAAAAAAGAAAAGCUUGUUAGAACAAGCAAGUGUGACUCCAGAUUCUACCCAUGGUGAUUAUCAGAAUGACGAGGCCAUUGCUAAUCUGACUUACCCGGUCCUUUCCAAGAAACGGAAGACUAUUAAUCUUUACGCUGAUGUCUCAGGAAUGAAAAGCAGAACAAAAACUAUUUCCCUCAAAAAAAGUUCAAACACCACAAUACAAUCAUUUAAAAUUGGUGAAUGUAUCCGUAGGGUUGCUAGCCAACUUACUGGGCCUCCGUCUUUAUUGAAAUGUUCCGGGGACAGAUCUCAGACGGCAGAUGGAAAUGUAGAUAGUUUUUCAGGAAAUGAAUUUGAUUCCUUCUCUCCCAAUUUUGAGGAAACUCAGAACUCAAGCUUGACUUUUCCUACAGAGGUUUCAUCUCUAGAUGAUUUGCUAUCUUUACUUCAGCGUGUAGCACAAGAACCACAGGGAGAUUACAGUUUCUUGAAUGUUAUUGUGAGUUUCUUCUCUGAUUUUAGGAAUUCAAUCGUAAUGGCCGAUGAUUCUGAGAAAGAAAUCUUACCUACAAAUGAAGUUGGCACUAAAAAGAAGAAACAACCCACAGGUGGAUCUCCUGAAACAUUUGACGCUGAUGAUCUGAAUGACACGCAUUGCGUACAGAAUGGUUCUGAAGAACAACCACAGAGAAGCGGAAGACUUGACCAUCAGCAGCAUGCCCUCUCUGAACUAGAAAAACCUGUUCAUGUGUAUACCCGUAGGUCGUAUGCCAGGAAACAAUGUUUUGAUAACAACCAUGCUGAGGUUCCUGAAAAACCUUCUGGUUAUAUAGAUGAGAAAUCCCCAGCUGAACUUGUUUUGAACUUUGCUGAGUUGGAUUCUGUUCUCUCAGAAACAAGCCUGAAUAAUAUUUUUAAGCAUUUUGGACCUCUAAAGGAAUCUGAAACAGAAAUUGAUAGAGGAACUAGCCGGGCAAGAGUGGUUUUCAAGAAGUGUGCUGAUGCGGAGGUUGCUUUCAGUAGUGCUAAAAAGUUUAAUAUAUUUGGACGAAGUCAUGUAGAUUACCAGCUGAACUACUCACCAAGUGCAUUUAUGAAAACUGCAUCUUGUUCUAUAAUGCCGGAUGAGGAAUUGCAUUUUAAUCUUUCCAAUGUUGAGCUUAAUAUGGUCUGAAUCAUUUGGUCAUGAAACUUUUAGUGCCAAUGUUGCUCUUACGAAAGCAUAUUGGUUGAAGAACUGGAGGAUGUUCUACGUUCUUCAAUCCAGCCAUGACAAAAGGAAAUAAGUGUCUGGCAACAGUAUGAGAGUAUGAGACUACUAAAGAAAGAAUUUCGGAAGAAAAUAAGGGAGUGCUGAAAACGUGGUGGCAGCAUAUAUAUAACUGAUUAUUCUGCAAAACCAGUUUAUUAUUCAAUGGCUUCCAAGUGAGGUAACCAGAAUGUCGAUUCAUCUGGUCAUCCAUUAUUCUUUAUAGAUUUCAUUUUGGUAGUAGGAUGCAUCAUGUUACAGCUUCUUAGUUUGCGAUGCUUUUACUAAUGUCCCGCUCCUUAUUGUAGUUGCCAUUUACAGAUUCUUUGUGAACUCUUUAGUCUGUAUCUAUUCUCUUACUUUAGUGGUUUAGAGGUUAGCACUAUUCAUAUGGGUUAGGGUUACUAUUACAAACUAUGCUUCAGAAAUUUGUAAGUGAAAAAAUAUGUUAAUUAGACCCUUUGAUGUCUUACCUUUUACAACAACAGCAAAUUGGUUCAAGUGGUAAAGAGAUUUGGGUUUCUUAAAUAA